GAUGAACGCUGGCGGCGUGCCUAAUACAUGCCAGUCGAGCGAACGGACGAGAAGCUUGCUUCUCUGAUGUUAGCGGCGAACGGGUGAGUAACACGUAAAGAACCUGCCUCAUAGACUGGGACAACUAUUGGAAACGAUAGCUAAUACCGGAUAACAGUAUUUCUCGCAUGGGAGAUAUUUAAAAGUUGGUUAUGCUAACACUAUGAGAUGGCUUUGCGGUGCAUUAGCUAGUUGGUGGGGUAAAGGCCCACCAAGGCGACGAUGCAUAGCCGACCUGAGAGGGUGAUCGGCCACACUGGGACUGAGACACGGCCCAGACUCCUACGGGAGGCAGCAGUAGGGAAUCUUCCGCAAUGGGCGAAAGCCUGACGGAGCAACGCCGCGUGAGUGAAGAAGGAUUUCGGUUCGUAAAGCUCUGUUGUUAGGGAAGAAUGGAUAUGUAGUAACUAUACAUGUAAGAGACGGUACCUAACCAGAAAGCCACGGCUAACUACGUG
rnacentral:rRNA from 1 species